rnacentral:rRNA from 1 species
AGCAACAGCCAUAUCACCCUGCAGCCCAAGACCGGUUACUCACUGAAGCUAAGCAGGGCUGAGCCUGGUUAGUACCUGGAUGGGAGACCACUAGGGAACACUAGGUUGCUGUUGGAA